rnacentral:rRNA from 1 species
AUUGAACGCUGGCGGCAUGCCUAACACAUGCAAGUCGAGCGAGCGGCGGACGGGUGAGUAAUGUAUGGGGACUGCCCGAUAGAGGGGGAUAACUACUGGAAACGGUAGCUAAUACCGCAUACUAUCGGAUAACCCAUAUGGGAUUAGCUAGUAGGUGAGUUAAUGGCUCACCUAGGCGACGCUCCCUAGCUGGUCUGAGAGGAUGAUCAGCCACACUGGGACUGAGAAACGGCCCAGAAUCCAAGGGAGGCAGCAGUGGGGAAGAGUGCACAAUGGGCGCAAGCCUGAUGCAGCCAUGCCGCGUGUAGGAAGAAGGCCCUAGGGUUGUAAAGUACUUUAAGUCGGGAGGCGUUACCGACAGAAGAAGCACCGGCUAACUCCGUGCCAGCAGCCGCGGUAAUAC